AUUAGAUACCCUGGUAGUCCGCACGGUAAACGAUGGAUGCCCGCCGUUGGGUAUUUUUAUUCAGCGGCCAAGCGAAAGCGUUAAGCAUCCCACCUGGGGAGUACGCCGGCAACGGUGAAACUCAAAGGAAUUGACGGGGGCCCGCACAAGCGGAGGAACAUGUGGUUUAAUUCGAUGAUACGCGAGGAACCUUACCCGGGCUUGAAUUGCAGAUGACGGAUCCAGAGAUGGUGACUUCCUUCGGGACAUCUGUGAAGGUGCUGCAUGGUUGUCGUCAGCUCGUGCCGUGAGGUGUCGGCUUAAGUGCCAUAACGAGCGCAACCCCUUUCGUCAGUUGCCAUCGGGUAAUGCCGGGCACUCUGGCGACACUGCCGCCGCAAGGUGUGAGGAAGGUGGGGAUGACGUCAAAUCAGCACGGCCCUUACGUCCGGGGCUACACACGUGUUACAAUGGGGCAUACAGAGAGUUGGUCAUGCGCAAGCAUGAUCGGAUCAUGAAAGUGUCCCUCAGUUCGGACUGGGGUCUGCAACCCGACCCCACGAAGCUGGAUUCGCUAGUAAUCGCGCAUCAGCCAUGGCGCGGUGAAUACGUUCCCGGGCCUUGUACACACCGCCCGUCAAGCCAUGAAAGCCGGGGGCGCCUGAAGUCCGUGACCGCGAGGGUCGGCCUAGGGUGAAACCGGUGAUUGGGGCUAAGUCGUAACAAGGUAAC
rnacentral:rRNA from 1 species